AUGCUUUGGCAGCACAUAUAUACUAAUAUUGGAACAAUGCAGAGAAGAUUAAAAUGGCCCCUGCACAAGAAUGACAUGCAAAUUUGUGAAGCAUUUCAUAUUUGG
ensembl:snRNA U6 U6 spliceosomal RNA